CCUACGGGAGGCAGCAGUGAGGAAUAUUGGUCAAUGGAGGAAACUCUGAACCAGCCAUGCCGCGUGAAGGAUGACGGCCCUAUGGGUUGUAAACUUCUUUUAUAUGGGAAGAAACUUAUCUACGUGUAGAUAACUGACGGUACCAUACGAAUAAGGAUCGGCUAACUCCGUGCCAGCAGCCGCGGUAAUAA
rnacentral:rRNA from 2 species